UCAUCUCCGGGGGUAGAGCACUGUUUCGGCCAGGGGGCCAUCCCGGCUUACCAACCCGAUGCAAACUGCGAAUACCGGAGAAUGUUAUCACGGGAGACACACGGCGGGUGCUAACGUCCGUCGUGAAGAGGGAAACAACCCAGACCGCCAGCUAAGGUCCCAAAGUCAUGGUUAAGUGGGAAACGAUGUGGGAAGGCCCAGACAGCCAGGAUGUUGGCUUAGAAGCAGCCAUCAUUUAAAGAAAGCGUAAUAGCUCACUGGUCGAGUCGGCCUGCGCGGAAGAUGUAACGGGGCUAAACCAUGCACCGAAGCUGCGGCAGCGA
rnacentral:rRNA from 4 species